rnacentral:rRNA from 1 species
GAUGAACGCUGGCGGCGUGCCUAAUACAUGCAAGUCGAGCGAACGGACGAGAAGCUUGCUUCUCUGAUGUUAGCGGCGGACGGGUGAGUAACACGUGGAUAACCUACCUAUAAGACUGGGAUAACUUCGGGAAACCGGAGCUAAUACCGGAUGAUAUUUUGAACCGCAUGGUUCAAAAGUGAAAGACGGUCUUGCUGUCACUUAUAGAUGGAUCCGCGCUGCAUUAGCUAGUUGGUAGGGUAAUGGCUUACCAAGGCAACGAUGCAUAGCCGACCUGAGAGGUUGAUGGGCAAACUGGGACUGGGAAAAGGUUCCAGCCCCCAAGGGGGGCAGGCGGAGGGAAACUUUCGGAAAGGGGCGAAGGCCUGACGAGGAAACGCGGGGGGGGUAUGAAGGGUCUUCGAUUGGAAAAAUCCUUUAAUAGGGAAGAAACUAAGUGUAAGUAACUGUGCACAUCUUGACGGUACCUAAUCAGAAAGCCACGGCUAACUACGUG